UACGAAGGGGGCUAGCGUUGCUCGGAAUCACUGGGCGUAAAGCGCACGUAGGCGGAUUGUUAAGUCAGGGGUGAAAUCCUGGAGCUCAACUCCAGAACUGCCUUUGAUACUGGCGAUCUCGAGUCCGGGAGAGGUGAGUGGAACUGCGAGUGUAGAGGUGAAAUUCGUAGAUAUUCGCAAGAACACCAGUGGCGAAGGCGGCUCACUGGCCCGGUACUGACGCUGAGGCGCGAAAGCUAGGGUAGCAAACGGG
rnacentral:rRNA from 1 species